GACAACAAAGCGGCGGCGGCGGCGGCGGCAACGGCAGCGGCGGCUCCUCAACAUGGCAGCGCCGAGCGCGGCCACUUCCGGUAACCUCCGGGACGCACCACCGCGGCGGCGAGCGCGGGCGGGGGGGGAGCCCCGGCCCGGCCGCCGCCGCCCCCAGUCGCCCGGACCCCCUCUGGGCGUCCCCGCUGCCGGCUCGCCGCCUCGGAGCUCAGCCAGUGCCCGCUGGCGGUGGGGUCAGGGCCCCCGCGGGGGGGCUGGGGUGGGGCCCGGGGCGGGGAUGGGGCGCGGCGUCCCCCCCCGCGGGGGUGUGUGGUGCUGCGGUCCGUGGCUCAGGCAGCUGGAGCAGGGGGAGCUCAGGAGAGAAGAUGGAGGACGCCAGGGUCUGGCGCUGGCCCGCUGGGCACAGCUGGGCCGUCUCCCGUGACUCAGACACGGUGUCCAGCACCGUCGCGUCCCUGUUAGACCCUCAGCGGAGGGCACAGGCCACGGCGGACACUCGGCUCUUCAGUCGCUCAUGCACAGCAUGGUCCCCACCUCCAAACUGGGGGAAGCCCUUUCGACUUCGAGCCUCUCUUCCUUUU
rnacentral:lncRNA from 1 species